rnacentral:ncRNA from 1 species
UAUAAAUUUUUAUUUUGGAUUUUUAAUUUAUUUAUUAAUUUAUAUAUAUAUAAUUUUAAGAAUUAAAAUUAAUUUAAAUAAUUAAUAUUUUAUUUAAUAUAUAUAAUUAUUAUUAUAAUAAUUUAUUUUUAGAAAUUUAAUUUAAUAUAAAUAAAUUUUUGUGCCAGCAAUUGCGGUUAAACAAAAUAUAUAAAUAAAUUUUUUUUUAAUAUUAAUAUAAUUAAAAUUUUUAAUAAUUAUUAAUUUAAUUUUAUGAUAAAAUAAAAUUUAUUUAAUAUUUAUUUAAUUUUUAAUUUAUUUAAUUAUAUUAUCUUAAAAAUUAGGAUUAGAUACCCUAUUAUUAAAAUUAAAAAUUUUUAUUAAAUUAUUAAAUUUAAUUUUUAAAUUUAAAAUUUAUGGCGGUAUUUUAAUUUAUUUAGAGGAAUUUGUUAUUUAAUUUGAUAAUCCACGAAAAGAUUUACUUGAAAUUAUAUAUUUAUGUAUGUUCGUUAUAAAAAUAUUUUUAUUAAAUUUUAAUUUUUUAAUAAUUUCUUAAAAUUUUAUUUCAGAUCAAUAUUUAAUUAAUUAAGAAUUUAAUGAAUUACAUUUAUUUUAAUUUUGGAAUUAAAAUUUUAAAAUUUUAAUUAAAUAGGAUUUAAUAGUAAAUUUAUUUAAUUAAAUAAAUUGAAUUAAAUUUUAAAAUAUGUACAAAUUGCCCGUCGCUUUUAUUUAAAAUAAAAUAAGUCGUAACAAAGUAAAUGUACUGGAAAGUGUAUUUAGAUUAUUAAUAUUUUUAAUAA